rnacentral:tRNA from 1 species
GCACCCUUAGCUCAGUUGGAUAGAGCGUCGGCCUCCGGAGCCGAAGGUCAGUGGUUCGAAUCCACUAGGGUGUACUA